UUUUUUUUUUUUUUUUUUUUUUUUUUCUGCAAAAGGUAGACAGGAGCACAUGAGUGCGAGAAUAGAUUUAGCUACUUAUAUAUGUAUUGGCUGCUCCAUAUCCCUCCGAAUAUCAAAGUGAAAAUAAAUAAGAAAGUUGCGGAUAACCUGCUUGAUCAAGCUAGCUACUAGCAGUUUAGACAUUUUCAUACUUUGUUCUCAGACCCUUAGAAGCAAGUUUGGCAAUCAUAAGAAACUGUGUGACAUUCUUAUUCUAAUGGCAAUGCGAAUGUGAAUGGAAAUCGAAAUGGAGUGAAUGGAGAAUACCAUCAAAUACUAAGAGUUGCUAGAAGAGCUAUUGGUACGAGGAAUAAAUUGAAAGAUGCAGCUUCCCUCUUAACAGCAGCUAAAUCAAUGGCUGUGGGACAUUAUGGAUGAGUUUAUGUACCAGUUUUAGAGCUUCUGUCAGUAUAGGCCUAAGAUGAAGAACAAGACUAAGCAGGAGACUACUUUUCUCAGACAGUUUGAUCAAGUCUUGAAGAAAAAGAUUGAUCUAUUUGAGCUCCGGUGAUAUGGCUAUUGCAUGUUUAGAGCUCUAGCAUGCUUGCAUAAACAGGGUGUGGUGCACAGAGCUGUUAAGCCCGGAAACUUCCUCUUCUCUCAGAAGCUAAGCAAAGGUUACCUGAUUGAUUUCGACCUUGCCAUGGUAGCAAGGUGAAAAGCUUACCUUCUCUGCGUCGAGUUUCCCCGUUGUUCCCCAUGAGCGUGGUCGAGUGUUCUUGGAACUUCUGGACUGUACAUGUCAGGAUCAUCUGUUGAGCAAAGACCUUAGCCACAGAGUUUCAGAUGAUUCUACUGAAACAGGGAAGGGUAGGAGACUUGGAGGGGCGGAUUUGAAACAUUUUUACCUGAACACUAGGUGAUUUUAUUCUGCUCUGCUUUUCAAGACAUUCUUUUGCAUAUAUCAACAGAGUGACAGCCAAUCAAAUCUCAUCAAACGCAUGCGUCAACAGCUAACGAACCAACUGAUAAAACAUUAGAAGAACUCAUGUGAAGUAAUUGGUUUGAACUAAAAAGGUAGGAUAUUUUGGUGACAAAACUAAUCACUUUUGAAUUUGUAUACAAGGAACAAUAACAGCUUUUGUAAUAUGUAAAAAAAUAACAUCUUCAAAUGACGUUUCUUAGUUUAUGAUUGUUACUCUACAUAUAUAAUGAAGGAAA
rnacentral:lncRNA from 1 species